rnacentral:lncRNA from 1 species
GCCACACAUGUUAAGGACCCUCAGCCCAGGGAGGUGGCUUUAAUCUUGGUUCUCCAGUGUCAGGAAGAGAUCCUUCAGUCAUGGGGUAAGUAUUUUCUGAGCACUUAGUACGUGGCAGGCGCUGGACUAUAAUGGAGAAUAGUCCCUGCCCUCAAGGAGCUCCGAGAAACAAGACUCAUUGGACCAUCAGUCUGGAUUCACUGAGGCAGGAUUCUUUACAGCACUUCUGAUGCAAUUGUCACGGACUGGAGACCAGCCUCCAUACAGGACCUGCAGGCAUAUUUUGUUACGCCCUGCACAGCGAAAUACAAAUCCAAUAAAAGUAAAUGCGCAAGUCUGAGGGGAACAGCUUGAAGAUCUUAUAUACCACCCCACCACAGUGUUUCUAAAGGUUAGGCAAUGUCACUGAAAAUAGAGAAGAGGAAAGGUACAUCCAGAAGGUGGAAUAAUAACCCUCCAAAGACAUCCACAUUCUAAUCCCCGGGAUCUGUGAAGACGUUACCUGAUGGAGCGAAAGCGACUUUGCAGAUAGAACCUUUCUUGGCCGAGUUCGUAGUCAGAGGGAGAUGUGACUACAGAAGAAUGGUUGGACACGUGCAACACUGUGGGCUUUACAGAGGAAGGAAGGGGACAUGAGCCAAGGAACUCUGGCAGCCUCUAGAAGCUAAAAAAGGUAAUCAGGAAGUCUCCUAGGAUAAGGUUAUUAUAUUCAAGUCCUGCCAAAAAAUGUAAGAAAAGAAGCUCCUAUUUGAGUGGACCAAAAAGAACAAUUAUACCUCCUAAAAAUAAAAUGAACCUAAGCUAAGAAAAUGAAAAGGUUUCUAAAGAAGGUCAGUACUUCUUUUUUGGUCUCCUUUCAUCACUGUGUGAUUUACUUUAAUAGUACCCUGUCAAACUAGAUGACUCAGUGGCCUCAUCACAGCUUACAGAGCAUUUCAUCUGUGGUCAUUCAUCCUGCCUAUGAAGAAAUUGACAUGUAGUCACUACAGAGCAACACUGCUCACCAAUGGUUGUUCACCACCAUACCCUCCUGAUCCUUGCCUAAUCAAACAGAGAGAUGCUAUCCUGCUUUUACCUACACAGAAAAAGAAAGAAGAUAAAACAAUGUUAGGGGGUUGUGGCUCAUUGAUGGUCAGAUAUGAAAAGCUGCUUCAAAUGCUGUCCCAUCAGUUCCUAAAACUGCAACAUGAAAAUGCAUCAUCAUGACUACCCUUUACCUAUCUCCCAAGCGUGAAAUUGUUUUCCCCAGUAAAAGUUUAAGGAAAUGAA